rnacentral:tRNA from 1 species
UCCNNNAUAGCUCAGUUGGUAGAGCAAAUGACUGUUAAUCAUUGGGUCGCAGGUUCGAGUCCUGCUGCCGGAGCCA